UUUAUCCUCUUCAUGUAUUAUGCAGUUUGAGAAGGCAACACUCAAGGCAAAGGAUCCUCGGAGCUUUUCUGAAAGCAAAGCUCAAUCCAGUUGGGUAUCAAGAGUUGACAGGAUCCUAGGACCAGCUAACAGUCUUCAGGAAUCCUUGAGAAAAUCUUUCGCCUCAAAUGAGAUGGCCAUGCCUGGCACUGGAACAUCAUCUUCAUGGGCUGCACUGUAGCUGACAUUUGUCCGGACUGCAAAUGCAACGGGUUUUGUCUAAAGGGAAAGGAAAGGAAAAACAUUAAGAGGUCCUUCUUCAUCAUGUAUAUGACAUGAUUUAUAGUGAAACUGCAAACCAGUAACUUUGGUAAUGUCUACCAAGUGACAAGCAAUAUAUUGGAUAUUGUACAUGGAUUGGUAAAUUCAUCCCAGCAACAAUCAUUUUAUUCCAAAUGACGAAACUGAGUCCAUAAAAUGUUCUCUUAGCUUAUAAACAAUGGAGGUGAUAUACACAAGAAGUUUUUUUACUCCAAAACCCAAGUCCUUUUGGUAAUCUUACAGGCGUUUACUGGGAGGUUAAAGCUAUGACUUAGUUGGUAGGUGCAAUGAGUUAAAUUGUCAGGUACCCUGGAACAAAGAGAAAAGAGCUACACUGAUAGUAGUUUUAGGGGACUUAGAUAUUGGUAUGAAAUUCUGAAGAUCUAGAAGUUGUAUUUCAUGACUUGCUUUAAAAAACCGGUUAGUAGAAAAUGUGUAUUAGGCCCAAGUCUGCCUUUUUGCCUCACUCUAAAUGAGCAGUUCCACAUGUUGAAACUAUGGGUAUUUAUUCUAAAUGUAACACACUUUUGCAUUGUUGUACUUCAAUCAAUUUGAGAUCUAAUAAAUCAGCAGCAAUGUCAGAUUGGGAUCUUUGUUCCUUUGGGUAUAACUUUUCUCUCUUCAUCUCCUUUUCUUGCAAGCCAUAUAAAUCAUAUUUCAUACAGUUAGAACUGAGAUGUUAAAAUCCACAUGAUUUUGCAGUUCCUAAAAUUGGCAUAAGGAUACUGGAGAACUUGUGAAAGACCAGAAGUACUGGAGCUCUUAAAAGUAGAGAGUAGAGAGCCAGGCAAUAUUCCUCACAAAAAAAGUGUCUUAAAGGUUGGCCUUAAGAAUAACUUGAAGUUAUUUCUGGACCUCUCACUGUAGCUUUAUUUUGCAAGUUGGUUACUUUUUGGAGGAUUCAUCACCAACUCUUCCCAUCCUGGAAUAGCCCAGGAUGCACCAAGGAUGUCCUUUAGGAGCCCUUGGAUUCCCUCAGGCUUGUUCACAAAGUUCAUUUAGGUGUAGAGAGACUCAAGUCCAAAUCCUACAUUAUACCUGGCUUCACCAUCUUCCUUCCCACUUAGACUCUAUUACUUACAUUAUCUGGCCAAAAGGCCCAAGAUGACCUAGGUCAUCUACAAAACUUUCAUCUUUCGGACACUUUGGCUGAUCCAGGCCCUGUAACCAUAUGGUCCUUAAUUUCAUAUCCAGGGCAACUAUUAGCUCAUCAGAGGCCUAUACAAGCCAAUCAGGAAAUGUGUUGGUUUGUAGCAAGAACAACUUUCAUUUUCUCAC